UGUUGUCUAUGCUCCUUCCUUAUAAAAAGCUAGGUGACCAUAGACUAAUUCUCUUUUCACAUCUAUAGCGCCUUAAGAUGUAAGUCACCUGUGUCGUCCUAAAUAAUUUUAAUUUAAUCCUCAACUCCGAAUUCAGUAAUUUACAGUCGUUGUGUGAUAUUAACAUUCUACCAUGAUAUAAUAAUAAAUUGUGCAUGACAGAGGAUUGUUUAAUUUGUGUCCGCCACCAUUAGAGAAAACCUUCCUGUGCAUUCGACUUUGCUGAAAGGUUAGUGGUCCAGACAAUGAAGGUUACUGUUUUAUCCCAGGAAGGGUUUAGAAAUUAGAAUAACAGGUCCUGUGUGUGCUCGAUAAGAAUAAAACUUGAUUGUUGUCGACUUAGACGAGCAUGCGGGAAAAUAACCUCAAAAUGGCGGAAUCACAAAUUCAAUCAUCUCUGCUACGUCAAUGUCAAUCGGAAGAUGAGAUGGACUGACGAGUUAAUGCUAACUAUGCUGUUAUCGUUAGAAGAUUUGUGGAAUUGCGUCGAUGGCUACGACACGAACGGCGGCGACAAUGCGAGGGCACCGGCGUGCAUCUACCCUUUUCCAUUCAACCGAUUUGUAUCAGCUAAUAAGAAAUUGUAUGAUUGUACGAAAUCUAAGGACGACUGUAGAAAGCUCGCUGACGCCUUUGAAGACUACAGACUACAGGAAAGUACUCCUACUUCGAAAGUCACACCGAGUUGAGUACCACAAUUGUACCUGCGUAUCUGUCUACACUGAAGGUGUGAUGAAGCUCGUCGCCCGGCGUGCUGAUAUAGGGAAGAAUGUAGAGGAUGACGAGGCAGCCGACAUGUUGCUCUCCAGUUUGCCAGAAAUUGUUCUAGUGUCCGGUUUGGAAACUGCUGGAUUUACAAACACACUUACUAUUGAGAUUGUCUAUGCAUUUCCUUUACAAGAAGACCAUCGAAUGAGCAACGUUCAAACUGACUAUGAUAUUUCAUCAGCAUAUUUGAUCAAGGAGAAGAUUACCAAGCUUUUAUGCUCGUGUUGCAAGCGCAAUGGAAAAGCGGCCCGCAGAUGUUUUGUGAAGAGGAAGCGUGAGGGAGCAAUAGCGAAUACAGAAGAUAAAGAAGAUAACGCACUGUGUGCUGCGGCUAACUUAGCUUGUCCCUGUCAAGAUGUCAUCGUGGCUCGUGGCGCGAUUGUUCUCCUAGCUAGUAGUCAUGAAGUUCUUCAAGAAUAUAAUAAGAAGGCAUAUUUGAUAUCUGUUGCUAGUGGAGAACUGCUUAUCGGUGAGCUUGUAGUAUGAACACGAUGUGCCAAGCAGCUGCGUACCGUGUCUUACUGGGAAGAUGUCUGUGACAUCUGUUCCCAGGCUGUGCAUUGGAUGUGCUGCUAAACCACUGGAACUGACCCACAGUGACUUGUUGACCAGAUGCAAGUCGGCACUCGGAAUGGAGCCCGCUUCUUGCUGACAUUCUCUGAUGACUGAGCCAGGAGGAGCUUUGGUCAUCUUAUGAAGAAUAAAGAUAUGCGGUAGUAACGCCAGAUGUGCAGUCUCCGCUCUCUGAUCAGUUCCUGUCGCUCGAUGAAGAUGGUGGUGAUGAGGGUGACGUGAACCUGCAAUUCAGACACUCCAUCCUCUCUGCCUGACCCUUCAUUUUGAGGAGGAGAGUCGAUUACAUUGGUCACUGCCGAUGCGUCGAUGUCUUGCCCCCGUUCGCAGUACGAGAGGUAUUUUCUCAGAGAAGGUAAUUGUUUGUUAACUGUUGUCACUAUUAGUUAUCAAACUGAACCACUAAUAAACAUACACUGAGGCUAUCAGUUUUUCCUUUUAAAACAUGAGUGGCUUACCUGCUAAUAUGUAUUUUAUUGUAGCAGGGCCAAAGUUUUAUUUUUUUUAUUUUCCCGCAAGUCGACGUCUAGCGCCUAUUUUGCGUGACGCGCUUUGGUAAUUUAACAAGUAAGAAAUCAUGUAUGGGAACUGGUAGACCGGGCUAUGAAAUUAAGUGGGUUCUUAUUAGAAUUUGCAGGUAAUUUGUUGAGCUGUUAGAUAUAAAGUUCAUUUUGUUGCCUGUGGUUACAGUCAAAAGUAGGGUAAAGUUUUUUUUUGUUUUGGAUAUCAAUAUGCCAAUUGUAAGACAUUAAACCCUCAGACUUUUGCUUAGUAUUUCAAAUCAGCCGGCGCUACGUUAUGGUUCGUAUAGACGUUACAUUUUUUUUUUAACGGUAAUUUUUGAUGAACCAUCUACCUAUAUGGAGCAACCAGCUGGUUAUGAAAUAAUAUUAAAGUAUGUUUACUGAAAAAAAAGCAUCGACGGCUUGAAGCAAGCAUGUCAUGUAAAAUGUAAAAGUUUACAGUUUUAAAUGAAAAUGGCUGCAAACAAAGUUAUUGCGAGCCUUAUGUUUAUGUUAAGAUAACCAAAGAUGAAUCUAUUAUCAUUAUUAUGUCUUAGCAUGAUUUGUAUAAUUUCGUUAUGGCUGUAAACAAAGUAUAAUGUGAGCCUUAUCUCUAUGCUAAGAAAUAACAAAGGUUUAAAUAUUUUUCUUAGCAUUUGUAUCUAUCAACGGCUGUAUUAAUGAACUGCUUUCAUUUUUAAAGACUAACUUUGAAAUUCAAUUUUAAAGGAUGUUUAAGGAUUGUCUUGGUAUGAAAGUAACUGUAACAUAUAAUAUCACUGUAUUAGAUCAGUUUCAUAAGGCGCAUUUUGGCUAAAUUUUAC